GGGCCGUUAGCUCAAUUGGUAGAGCAGCUGACUCUUAAUCAGUAGGUUCGGGGUUCGAGUCCCUGACGGCCCACCA
rnacentral:tRNA from 10 species